rnacentral:rRNA from 1 species
AUUGAACGCUGGCGGCAGGCCUAAAACAUGCAAGUCGAACGAGUGGCGGACGGGUGAGAAAUGUAUGGGAACCUGCCUGAUGGAGGGGGAUAACUACUGGAAACGGUGGCUAAUACCGCAUACCAUCAGAUGUGCCCAGAUGGGAUUGGCUAGUUGGUGGGGUAACGGCUUACCAAGGCGAAGAUCCCUAGCUGGUCUGAGAGGAUGACCAGCCACACUGGAACGGAGACACGGUCCAGACUCCUACGGGAGGCAGCAGGGGGGAAUAUUGCACAAUGGGCGCAAGCCGGAUGCAGCCAUGCCGUGUGAAUGAAGAAGGUCUUCGGGUUGUAAAGUUCUUUCAGCGGGGAAGCGUUAGCCGCACAAGAAGCACCGGCUAACUCCGUGCCAGCAGCCGCGGUAAUUC